rnacentral:tRNA from 1 species
GGCUCCGUAGCUCAAUGGUAGAGCAGUGGACUUUUAAUCCAUUGGUUGAAGGUUCGAGUCCUUCCGGAGUCACCA